CCUACGGGAGGCAGCAGUGAGGAAUAUUGGUCAAUGGACGCAAGUCUGAACCAGCCAUGCCGCGUGCAGGAUGACGGCCCUAUGAGUUGUAAACUUCUUUUAUACGAGGAUAAACCCCGGUACGUGUACCUGUUUGCAUGUAUCUUACGAAUAAGGAUCGGCUAACUCCGUGCCAGCAGCCGCGGUAAUACGGAGGAUCCGAGCGUUAUCCGGAUUUAUUGGGUUUAAAGGGUGCGUAGGCGGUUUGAUAAGUCAGAUGUGAAAGGUCGCGGCUCAACCGUCAAAUUGCAUUUGAUACUGUAAGUCUAGAGAACAGUUGAGGUAGGCGGAA
rnacentral:rRNA from 1 species